CUCUUUCGCCCAUUUGCCAAUCUUCCACGAGAAGCGACUCUCCGAGUUUCUGUUCAAUCCUGUUCCUAAUUCAUCAAAAUUUCAAUCUCUCCGAUUUCUCCGCUUUGAGAUCCUAAUUUCUGUUCAGUUCUAUUGGUUUCUCAUACACUUUCCUGGAGAUUUUCCUGAAGUCAAAAUGAUGGAAUCAAGUUCUUCUCCUAAACCGUUUCUGGGUAUCCGUUUCGCUCUCGUUGGGUUCAAUCCCAUCGAUGGAAGCAAGUUGCGGUCCAAGCUCGUUAAUUGUGGUGGUGUGGACAUUGGCCGGUACAGUCAGGACUACACUCACCUCAUUGUCGACAAGCUUGUUUAUGAAGAUCCUAUAUGCGUUGCUGCUCGAAAUAGUGGGAAAAUAGUUGUUCUGGGGUCUUGGGUUGAUCACUGCUUCGACAUUGGAGUGCUGGUUGAUGCGAAUUCUGUUUUGUACAGACCCCCUAAAGACCUGAAUGGAAUUCCUGGUGCCAAAAGCUUAAUUGUAUGUUUGACCGGGUACCAGCGUCAAGAUAGAGAUGACAUCAUGGCAAUGGUUGCUCUGAUGGGCGGACAAUUCUCCAAGCCGUUGGUUGCUAACAAAGUAACUCAUCUCGUAUGCUACAAAUUUGAGGGGGAAAAAUAUGAACUUGCCAAGAGGAUGAAGAAGAUUAAGCUAGUGAACCACCAGUGGUUAGAAGACUGUUUAAAGGAGUGGAAGCUCCUUCCGGAGGCUGAUUAUGAGAUGAGUGGCUUUGAGUUGGAGAUGAUGGAGGCUACAGCUAAAGAUUCUGAAGACGAAGCAGAAGAUGUUUCCUUGAAGCGUGCAAACAAGAGCCCUCUUGGUCUGAGGGUCAGUGUUGCAGUUGACGGGACUAUGCCUAAUUCAGAAGAAAGGAAUGUGUCAGUUUCUCAAGCAAAAUCGGCCACACAGGAAGAUUCAUCAAACACUAAUGCAUCCAAAGAUUUGUGGUUAACUCCUAAAAAGGUGAACAGAGUCAGACCUAAUGAAGCCAUGGCCUCUACUGGCAUCGAUGCUUCUCUGCAACAUGAUUGUGGGAAAACAAGCACUAUUCAGGAUGCUUCCCAUGGUACCAAUCCACUUGAAGAGAAAUCAGAGUCUAGAGAGAUGAAAGAUGGCCCGACGUCUAUAUCCAAGAGUACUACUAACAGGUUGUCACCCAUGGUUCCUAAACAUGUCUGUCUGAAAACAAACACUUUCCAGGAUGCUUCUCAUGAUGCACUGCUCAAUUCACUUGCCAAAUCACCCGACUCUACAGAGGUCAAAGAUGACAUGACAUCUACAUACAAGAGCACUGAAAGGCUUCCAUCACCGGCUAGGAAUAUGUGUUCCUUAACUUACUCAAGGAAAAGAGGUAAGAAAUCGCCAGGUACAAAGUCCCAAGGAGAUGAAUCUAGCAUCCCAAAUGGCUCCCCAAGAACAAAUGAUGGUGGCUUAAAAGUUAUAGUUGCUUCUGAUAUCUCUAUAUCAAAAUCAGAUUUUGUUGCAGAAGAAACCAAUGUCCUUGAGGAUCCCUGCAAGAGUGAUAACGUGCAUGGAAAAGAGUCCCUUCAGAUGUUGCCUCAGAAAAGAUUAGCAGAUGGACAUGUUAAUGGCUCGAAAUCACGAAAGGUGGGAUGCACCAGUGAAGUAUUGGUGGAACUGGAAUCAAUAUCGCCAGAACAAAACCAUGUUUUUGUGUCAAGUAUUUGUGGUUCAACUGAAGGUAGGGAACUUGCACAUAAAUUGCCUGCAACUGAUUCAACAACUAAGUCUUUGAGUUCAAAUGUCAUAGACAUGAAAGAUGUUAUCCCUACUUCAGAAAAUAUGCCUUUGAAGGGUGCACUAACUGAGUCUAUUGGCAAGAAAAUGCAAGAAAGAUCAUUGACUGGGCUCGUGAUGGAAAAAUCUAGCAUGGUGUCAGGUUUGGAUUUACUUGUAAGUGACAACAAGACAGAGCCAGAGCAACCUAACAAGAAAACUGCUUCCAAAAAGACCCUUGGCAUGAGACCCAAGCUAAAGAACAGCGGUAAUCAAAAGGGAUCUAUUUACUUGAGCAAAACUGCAUUAAGCAAUGACCUUAGUAAUUGCUUAAGCAAUGGAAAAGUUGCAUCUCUGAUGCUGGAGAGUGACAAUCAGAAGGAAAUGUCAAUUCCAGCUAUUAAUUUUGAAUCCAUGCUGGAAAUGGCGAAACAAAUCGACUCUGGAGAUAAAGCUUUUGAGAAAUUCAGCUGCACAGAUGGUGAAACCAAUCCUCCGGAGGAGAAAGUUAGCCACGAGUAUGACACAGCCGUAAACAAAGAUAGGUUGGUUGUGAUUGAAGGAGAGGUGGAAGUAAGAUCAGUAGGAGCAGAAGUAAAUGACGGUUCAAAUGAGGAUGGACCCGAUGAUACCACAGAACCAGAGGUUGAUGGAAAUACAAGUAAAUGUGGAAAGGAUGCCUCUGGGGAAAAUAUUAGCACUGGAAAUGCGAAGAAACGUGAUUUACGUACAGCUGAAGUGGGGAAAGUUUACACCAGGAAGAAGAAGUCUAGAAAAGAAUACAACUUGAGAGGAAAUGACAACGAGAUGAAAGAUAAGGGGGAUAACUCCGUGGAAGAAACGGAGGACGUGUCUGGGAAUAAAAGUUCUGGGAAGAUUAGUGAAGAUCAGAGUUCAACAAUCGGAAAACCACAUGCAAGAAACAAAACAGCAAAGUCAAGUAAGACCCUAACAAAAGCUGAUAAACUGUCAGGCAAGAUCAAUUCUACUUCUAAGUCGAUGUUUAGUAGAAAUGCCUUGCAAGUCACAGGAAAGAAGUCGGCAUGUUUCAUUGUCAAUGGGCUUAGGUUUCAGAAAAAGGAAUAUCAGAAGAUUGUUAGGCGUUUGAAAGGCAAAGUCUGUAGGGACUCUCACCAGUGGUCUUAUCAGGCAACGCAUUUCAUCGCUCCAGAAAUUCGCCGGACUGAAAAGUUUUUUGCCGCCGCUGCAUCCGGGAGUUGGAUUCUCCAUGGAGAUUACUUGCCUGCUUGUAGUCAAGCUGGGAAAUUCUUGCCUGAAGAGCCUUUUGAAUGGCAUGGAACCGGUCUUAGUCAGGACAGUGUGAUAAACUUAGCGGCUCCAAGGAAAUGGCGACUGAUUAGGGAGAAAACGGGUCAUGGUGCCUUUUAUGGGAUGCGCAUUGUCAUAUAUGGUGACUGCAUCGUCCCUUCUCUGGACACGUUAAAGCGUGCAGUGAUAGCCGGGGAUGGUACCAUACUAGCAACAGCACCACCGUACAAGCGGUUCCUGAACGCAGACACUGAUUUUGCUGUGGUAAGCCCUGGAGUUCCACGAGCCAACGCCUGGAUCCAGGAGUUUCUGAGUCAUGAGAUACCUUGCGUUGUUGCUGAUUACCUCGUGGAAUACGUGUGCAAAUCCGGGUACCCCCUUGACAAACACGUGCUUUACAACACAAAUGUGUGGGCAGAGCGCUCAUUUAACAAGCUGCUACGAAUCACAGAGGGAGAAAGAUAAGGAACGUUAACUGUGGCAGAUAACUGUGGCAUUUGUACAUAAGGCAUGAUUUCAAACUCACAUGAACAAAGACCACUCAAUAGUAAUUGUGGAGUUUGUGGAAGCUGCGACAAAGAAGAGGCGAUGCUGAUAUGAUUGCUUCUGUCCUAAAUGCAGUGAAGCCACUCCCAAAAAAAAGAUAAGGUAAGCCUAAAUAUUAAAAUCCAAUUAUGCUAAAGUCAUAUCUUAUUGCAACUAAUGAUAUGUAAAACUUGAAUGCAAAUGGAAUUAAGGACCAUUUUUUGUAAAAUUAAAUGUAUAUGUAGCUUUUUUUAUAAUUCGAAAAUUUAUCGGAUAUUCAUUCCAAUUACAUCUUCGAGAAUUGGAAAAGAUUAGAUGAAUAUUGAUCUCUAACCAACCAAUGUUGGUAUGUAUAUUUUUUUAAAAAUAAUUUGAAAGUUUAUCGAUAUUUUGGUACAACUACAUAUACAAGAAGAUAAAGAGAAAUUCACAUGUUUUUUUCUAUGUUUGGAUUUAAAUUUGGGAUAAAAAUAUGUUUUAUAUAUUUUCUUUACCACUGGAUUGUUUAAACUUGGUGAUUGGGAUGUAUAGUUAGGUUCUGUCAUCAAUCAAAAACACUGAGAACAAGAGGGUAUAACCAAAGGUUUAUAAUGUUACUUUUUGUCAUUUCAAUGUCAUUACCAUUAUCAUUAUUAUUACUACCGUCAAUGGUUGAGUAAGAGAAGUAAAAAUUCAACCUGUUUUGUCAUUUACCAAUGAGUUGUCUGGACAGUGGCAUGCAAAGACAGGAAAAUUUGAACAGCGUUCGAGACUCUGGUAGUAAACAGACAAAACCCAAAAGGAAAGUGAAUAAAAGUUAUGGGGCAAAUAUUAUUUAUUAUAAAUAUGAUUAUUAUUAUUA